GCUGAGUCGUCUUCCUCGCAGCGCCGCAGCCAAAUUGCAGACUUUCAAAAUUUCUUCCGGUUCAGAUCAAGCGCGCCUUGCUCCGCCUCGCUACGCCUUGCAACGCCUCCUUACGCCUUACCUGCGCUAAACAGCCGACCGCCUCGGGCGUUUUCCUGCCGCCUCGCUCCGACGCGCGCUCCGAAGCGCGCGAAGGCAUGCCUUUGAAAACACUGGUGAGGACGACAAGUAUACGGUGUGUUUCUUAGGCCCACCUGAUAUGCUUGAGUUUAAGCGCUCUGAGCUGCGCCCUCAUUGGGAUUUUCUCAACGGCGAAUGGGUUCGACCCCGGAAGAAGAGGAUGGUGGGAUCAGUUUUCAGCCCUGGGACAGCAGUGGAAGUGAACCUCAGCAAAGAACCUAUAUUCGGUGCUUGUUUCCCAGCAAUUUAUCUUGGCAAACUAGGGGACAACUCUUUCUUGGUUCAAUAUAAAAGCUCAAACAACUCUGAUGUUAAAGUGAUCGUAGAUGGCAAGCACAUUCGGGCUUACAUUGAUAAAUCAACUUAUGGAAAGACAAAAAAGAAACGAAAAACCUACAAUGGCAGUCUUCAGAUGUUAUCAACUUCUUGGAAAAACCUACAAUGGUUGCAUCAUCCUUAGGUGUCUGAUUAAUUUUUCGUUUCUUUUCUGUCUUUCCAUAAGUUGAUUUAUCAAUGCAAGCCCGAAUGUGCUUGCUAUCUACGAUCAUUUUAACAUCAGAGUUGUUUGAGCUUUUAUAUUGAACCAAGAAAGAAUUGUCCCUUAGUUCGCCAAGAUAAAUUGCUAGGAAACAAGCACCAAAUAUAGGGUCUAUACAAGAACUCAUAGGGUCUAUACAAACCUAUGAGAUGAAACAUCUAGCUCCUAAAAAGAGCAAAAGUGUUGCUUUUAAGGUUGUGAAUGAAGAAGAUGACGGCCAUUCAGAUGAAGAUUGCAGUGAUGAGGAAUUAACGAUUCUCAUAAGACGAUUUAUGAACUUUCUCAAGAAUCAGGAUCCAAGGAGUCGAGAUUCAAAAGGUAUAAAUUCUAAAAAUAGAUUUGUUGACUAUACUGAUGGUGGGUCUAAAUUUCACAGGUCAAAUGAACGAAAGAAUCCAAGAGAAAAGGUCAAAUGUUUCGAAUGCGAAGUUUAUUGACACAUAUCUUCAGAAUGUGCCAACACCUUAAAGAAACAAAAGAAUGGCAAGAAUAAGGCAAUGCAUACUACUUGGAGUGACAGUGAUUCUGACUCUGAAAAUAAUGAGAAGGCCAUUGCGCUUAUCACGACUGUAAUCUUGGAUGAACCAACGAAGAAGGAUGAUGAUUGUUAAGAUAUGGAUGUUGAGUUUAUCAUGAACAAAUAUGAUGAUUUGUUGGCCGCUUCUCAGAAACUUAGCAAACAAAAUGAUGAGCUCAUAAAAUCCAUGGCUAUGUUGAAGUUGGAAAAUUGCAGGAUUGCAAACGAGUUUCAAUCCCUUGACACAGAUUCCGAAAAGGUAAGUGCAUGUAUGAGUGAAAAAUUGAUGUUUUUGCAGAAAAAAUUAACUGAUCAGAAUAAAUUAAUUGCAUCUCUAACUUCUGACAACAAAACCCUUGAACUUGAACUUAAAAAUUCAAAGAAAAGGAUUGUCUCUUUAACCAUUGGUGCAGAAAAAAUUGACAGGAUGAUAAGCAUGGGAAGAAGAGAUGGUGACAAACAAGGCUUGGGAUUUGAACCAAAACUCGUGGCCACAUAAGACCAAGAUGCAAUAAGCUUCGAAAGGAAUUUGUUCGUUCAAAUUCUCAUGUCAUGGGUGGAAAAGUAAGUAUCCAACAUAAGAUUUCAAAUCUUAUGAAAGAGGUAAACCGUUUAUCCAAGCUAUCUUCUUUUCAUUGUUUGCCGUCAACUAAGACAGAGUUAGUUUGGAGGAAAAAGGAAAAUCAUAAUUGUAUGUUUGCCUCUACUAAUGCUGUGCAUGAACCUGCUGCUUUAGAGAAUUUGGAUGUUAAAUGUCUUGUUGCAAAAAAUUUAGGUAAUCAUCAAUUUGACACUCUUAGACAGUCUUUGGGUAUCUGUGCUCUAGAUUAAUUCGGAGUCUACUGCAUGUCAAAGCCUCUUCUAUGAUGUAUGAUAUUUAAAUUAAUUUUUUUUGUUAUAAAUCUGUCCAGCUCGUGCAAGGAUUGUUAGGUCGUAUCAAUCAUGUAGUUGUCUGUACGUAUUUGAUGAUCUUAGAUUGGGCUCUGUCAUUGCACUCUAUUGAGAACACACACUCACAGCUUCCCACACAGGUUUCCAUUGUCUUGAUGCAUGAUAAACUUCAUUAAAUGAUCUAUCCAUCAAUUCUUUGUUUAAUUGCACACCACACUCUUUUCUUUGAAGUUCCUUGAAUAUCUUCUCUCAUGCACUUGCCUCUCUUUGGAUUGCAAUAACACUGCUGUGCGUAAGUUCUUGAUCUGUUUAUAAAAAUAAAAAUAAAAAUAAUAAAAAGGUGAUGACUUCUCAUUGCUCAGUAACCGGGCCUCUUGUCUAACCAACAUCGAGGUUCGAGUCAACAGGCUGUGAUGGUUGCUAUCCUUGCUUAUCUUUGGAGCCUUCAUGAUUCGGAUCAGUAUUUCCCCAGGGGUGCCUCAUCACCCAGUUGUUUAUUGUCAUCUGACUUGAGCACACUGAUUGACCAUCCGCUACAUGGAUCAUGUCGAAAGCUAAAUAAAGUGAGCCACAAAAUCCAUAAAGAAAAAUAAAAAUCACAUAAACUGAUCAUUAUAUACUUCCUAUGCACUCAGUGUAUGUGUUAUCCUUAGUGGGAUUAGUCUUGGGUGGACAUAUUCUUUGCGCUUAAUUGAACAGAGUUCACUUCCCAGCUUUGCUUCUUGAUGGUUGAUUCAUUUGGUGCUUUUUAUCUUUCCCCAUGACUGUGGUAUGCCUCCUCUUUUAUCUGUGAGUUUGUGCGUCUUGUGUGGUGUUGUGCCUUUGUCCCUGCCAUGCUUUGCUUCACAUGCGUUUCAGCUAGCAAUGGGACUGUUGCUACUUUUUUUAUCUCGCUCUCAAGCUUGGCAUGUUUAUGAAUGGAAAAUAAUUAUAUUUUCAAGAGAGGCUUGGGAGUGUUUUUAUGUCUUGAGUUUUUUUUCUUGAUGAUUUUGUUUUUGUUUUGUGUUUUAUGUCUUCAAUGAUUGUUUUGGUUGGAUUCUUAAAAACUUCUCCGUAUUUCUUCAGUUUGCAAAUUUUUUUUCGUUUUUUUAAAAUUUAUUUAUUUAACCAAAAAAAAAAUUCCCACUUGGUAUCAUUUUACGCCUCCUAUUGCUAGUGUAGAAAUGGAAUUUGAAGAAUUGGAAUCAAGAAUACUCUCAAGUGGAAGGGCUGUAGUAUGAUGAAACAUUUACUCUUGUUGCUCGUUGUCAUCUAUUAAAUUGAUGCUUGUUGCUGCAACUUAUUACUUCCACACAUAUAUGCCUCUUAUUUUUCAUUUUUUUUUUCUUUUUACUGAGUGUUAUUCUUGUGUUUAUUAUUGGCAUAUAUUUAGGGGGAGAAUUAUUUUUCCAAUGCACAAGAUGAUACGAUCAUGUUUACAUUUCUUUUCAAACGUAGUGUCGUUUAUCCUUCUUGUUUAAUUGUGCAGCUAGGUCUUGCUUCAUGUUGCAUCUCAACCUUUGCAUGAAUAUCAGAAUUACUAAGACAGAUGCAUGAUAAAUUGAUCUGAGGAUUGUAGUGUCAUUAUCAAUCCUGUCAGUUGCAGACCUGUGGCACAACAUGCUCACAAGAACAUUUCUUUGUUUAUAUGAUUGAACCACAGAGGUAAGUAUGUGGCACAAAAAGGGGACAACAAUCAGCAGUUCUGCCGUUCAGCACGACGUUUUGCAUGAAAGCUGUCUUGAACCAUAUUGUCUACCACAUCAAUGUGCAUAUAGUCUUGCCGUUCAGCAGAACGUUUUGCUGCUUCAAACAAAUUAAAAACCACAGAUUGGUCUUGAACUCGUAAAGUUAAUGUUCCAACUUUCACAUCAAUUAAAGUCCUAGCUGUUGCCAUAAACAGUCACCACAAUGAAGAGCAAAAGACAUGUCAACACAGAGUUAAGUUUCAUAUAUUGUUUAUAUGAUUGAACCUAAACUUGUGUAUGUUGUUCUUGUAGGUGUUGCAUGGAUCUUGGUUAUGACAAAUGAGACUUUUGCACCCAUUGCACAUCUGGAAUUGAUAUGCUCCCUUCUAUUCUUUCCUUGCCCUUUGGAUUUCCUAACAAAAAGGGGGAGAGAUGACUGUGUGAAAUUACGAUAAAAAGGGGGAGAGAUUGUGUUCUGGAAUUAAGGGGGAGUUGUGUUGUAAUUUUGCUUUGAAUUACAUUUCUUCUCCCACAUGCGUCACUGGUUUUGUUGUUUCAUAAUGUAAAGGGAUUCAGAGCUUUGAGUUUAGAGUAGGAUUUCAUUUGUUAAAUUCCAUGCAAUUUCUCUUGAGUUGUAAUAGGUGUUUGUCUAGGAAAUGCCAAAGGGGGAGAUUGUUAGUAUGAAAAUUGGAUUGUCAUUUCCUAGACUCUAGCUAGGAAUUGUUACUGGACGUUUUGGCACAACUCUCUCAACCCCAUACUUCCGUGACAUGACCUGACCCUAUGAGAAACUUGACAACAGGUAAAUCAUGACAUAAUCAUGCAUACAUUAUAGAAUUCCUAGUUGGAAUUAGUUUCACUCAAGUAUUUUUAUGUUAAUCCUAUUUUUAAUAUGAUUAGAUUUUAUCUCUUGAUAUUACUUCCUACUUGGUUGGUCUAAUUCAUUUGUUUUAAUAGAUAUUGUUUUUCUAUUAAAGUUUAGUUGGUUGGCGUCUUUUCUAAGAAUCCAUUUUAAUCAAAACUAAUAGUCAUAAUUGAUUAACAUAUGUGGUCCUGUACGUCUUUACUAAGAGAUUAUAUUGGAUCAAGUUUUGGAGUCUUAGUUGAAGAGGUUUGCUAUGAGUUCAUAUUGCAUAAGGUUUUGUAGUGUGGUAGUUGAAUAACGUGAAAGUCUUUGUUCAAUUGGAUUGGUGGUCACGUGGUUCUCUCUCUAGUUAGAGGAACCUGUUUUGCAUAAAAGCAUUCGUUGUUUCUUUUUCGAAGUCAAACUUUUCAAGGCAUUUGCAUCCUUGAGUAUAUUGAAUCUUUUUGAAAAGCUGCCGUGCUUAUUUUCUUAGAUAAAUCAUCAAGUGUUCCUUGUUUACUUGGUGAUUUAUCAAAUCCUUUCUUCAUUUAUAUUGCAUUCAUAUGCAUGUCAGUGACCCAUACGGUUGAGGGCACCAAGACCGUGGUGGCGAUUUUCCUCUGGCGAGCUUGAAGCAAUCGUGACCAGUAUUGCGUUCAACAUAAGGAGUAUCGAAGAUCAUCCCGUGAUAGAAAUUGA